rnacentral:rRNA from 1 species
GAUAUCAUCCAACUCGGGCCGACGUUCCUGCACAGCAUGAUGACGUUCGAAAGGAUGAAUGGUGUCAUCAAAGGAUACGUUCGCAACAUGUCACGUCCAGAGGGAAGCAUAGCCAGGGGCUUUCUGACCGAAGAGUGCAUCUCCUACUGCACGAAUUAUCUAGGCAUCGAGAACCCCGUUGGUCUGCCCGUCAACAGGCACCUCGGCAGGCUCGCUGGAUGGGGUCACCGUGAGGGUCGCCGCGAAAUGCAUGUCGACUUCGAGGGUCGACUCGCCGACUUUGAAAGAGCAAACCUAGUCGCGCUACAACACAUAGACGUGGUCGAUCCUUGGGUGGUAGAGCACAAAACCUUUAUUAAGAAGACGUACAAUGACCGAGGCCAACAGAGGACGGACGGAGAUAUACUCAAAGAGCACAACUCAUGUUUCACGCGUUGGUUCAAGCAGAAGCUU